rnacentral:rRNA from 1 species
UUGACCUCGGAUCAGGUAGGGAUACCCGCUGAACUUAAGCAUAUCAAUAAGCGGAGGAAAAGAAACCAACAGGGAUUGCUCUAGUAACGGCGAGUGAAGCAGCAAUAGCUCAAAUUUGAAAUCUGGCGUCUUCGGCGUCCGAGUUGUAAUUUGUAGAGGAUGCUUCUGGGCAGCCACCGACCUAAGUUCCUUGGAACAGGACGUCAUAGAGGGUGAGAAUCCCGUAUGCGGUCGGAAAGGCACCCUACACGUAGCUCCUUCGACGAGUCGAGUUGUUUGGGAAUGCAGCUCUAAAUGGGAGGUAAAUUUCUUCUAAAGCUAAAUAUUGGCCAGAGACCGAUAGCGCACAAGUAGAGUGAUCGAAAGAUGAAAAGCACUUUGGAAAGAGAGUUAAAAAGCACGUGAAAUUGUUGAAAGGGAAGGGAUUGCAACCAGACUUGCUCGCGGUGUUCCGCCGGUCUUCUGACCGGUUCACUCGCCGCGUUGCAGGCCAGCAUCGUCUGGUGCCGCUGGAUAAGACUGGAGGAAUGUAGCUCCCUCGGGAGUGUUAUAGCCUCCAGUGAUGCAGCGAGCGCCGGGCGAGGUCCGCGCUUCGGCUAGGAUGCUGGCGUAAUGGUUGUAAUCCGCCCGUCUUGAAACACGGACCAAGGAGUCUAACAUCUAUGCGAGUGUUCGGGUGUCAAACCCCUACGCGUAAUGAAAGUGAACGGAGGUGAGAACCGCAAGGUGCAUCAUCGACCGAUCCUGAUGUCUUCGGAUGGAUUUGAGUAUGAGCAUAGCUGUUGGGACCCGAAAGAUGGUGAACUAUGCCUGAAUAGGGUGAAGCCAGAGGAAACUCUGGUGGAGGCUCGCAGCGGUUCUGACGUGCAAAUCGAUCGUCAAAUUUGGGUAUA